AUUGAACGCUGGCGGCAGGCCUAACACAUGCAAGUCGAGCGGAGCGGCGGACGGGUGAGUAAUGCCUAGGAAUCUGACUGGGCGUGGGGGAUAACGACCGGAAACGGGCGCUAAUACCGCAAACUCUCAGAUGAGCCUAGGCCGGAUUAGCUAGUUGGUGGGGUAAGGGCCUAGCAAGGCGACGAUCCGUAACUGGUCUGAGAGGAUGAUCAGUCACACUGGAACUGAGACACGGUCCAGACUCCUACGGGAGGCAGCAGUGGGGAAUAUUGGACAAUGGGCGAAAGCCUGAUCCAGCCAUGCCGCGUGUGUGAAGAAGGUCUUCGGAUUGUAAAGCACUUUAAGUUGGGAGGCGUUACCAACAGAAUAAGCACCGGCUAACUACGUGCCAGCAGCCGCGGUAAUAC
rnacentral:rRNA from 1 species